rnacentral:rRNA from 1 species
GAAACCAACAGGGAUUGCCCUAGUAACGGCGAGUGAAGCGGCAACAGCUCAAAUUUGAAAUCUGGCCCUUGGGUCCGAAUUGUAAUUUGUAGAGGAUGUUUUUGGUGCGGUAUCUUCCGAGUUCCUUGGAACAGGACGCCUUAGAGGGUGAGAGCCCCGUACGGUUGAAUGCCUAGCCUUUGUAAAACUCCUUCGACGAGUCGAGUAGUUUGGGAAUGCUGCUCUAAAUGGGAGGUAAAUUUCUUCUAAAGCUAAAUACCGGCCAGAGACCGAUAGCGCACAAGUAGAGUGAUCGAAAGAUGAAAAGCACUUUGAAAAGAGGGUUAAAUAGCACGUGAAAUUGUUGAAAGGGAAGGAUUUAUGACCAGACUUUUUCUAGGCGAAUCAUCCGGUGUUCUCACCGGUGCACUUCGUUUAGUUUAGGCCAGCAUCGAUUUUCGGGGCGGGAUAAAAGCUUUAGGAAUGUGGCUCCUUUCGGGGAGUGUUAUAACCUAUUGUAUAAUACCGCCCUGGGGAUCGAGGUACGCGCUUCUGCAAGGAUGCUGGCGUAAUGGUUAUCAAUCACCCGCCUUGAAACACGGACCAAGAAGUCGAACAUUUGUGCAAGUGUUUGGGUGUUAAACCCUCACGCGUAAUGAAAGUCAACGGAGGUGAGAGCCCUUACGGGUGCAUCAUCGACCGAUCCUGAUGUCUUCGGAUGGAUUUGAGUAAGAGCAUAACUGUUCGGACCCGAAAGAUGGUGAACUAUGCGUGGAUAGGGUGAAGCCAGAGGAAACUCUGGUGGAGGCUCGCAGCGGUUCUGACGUGCAAAUCGAUCGUCAAAUCUGCGCAUGGGGGCGAAAGACUAAUCGAACCAUCUAGUAGCUGGUUACCG